GUAUAAGUAAUAAGAAUUAAUGGUAACGUGUAAAUUGCGAGAUAUCGAAAUAGUGAGAAAAGUGUUGCGUAGCUGUAUUGUAAUAAGGUAAUGGAAAUGCUUUAGACUUGAUUUAUCAUGGAAACUACGAGGAUAAACGUUUCACUCUUAAUAAAUUACCGUAUUUUACAAGGGGCAUUUUAUUACGUAUGCAUGUGUAUGUGUUAUGUGCUUUUUAAAAGCAAGAAGGAAAAGGUGAAGAAUAUAGCAGGAUAAGUACUGCGCGGACAACGGACGACGGACGAUGGGCUCGAGGAAAAGAGCUGAAUAAAGAAUAAUUAACCGAGGCCGAUGAUAAUGUGGACGCGUGCGCGACGAAACGGCGGCUGGUCUGCUUAGGUUCACCAGCGAUUUUCCAUUCUCAGUUGUCGAUCGAAAAGGCUGGACUGCUUGUCGACUGGCGUCGCCUUGGAUACCUUUCGGUGUAGCUAACGUUGUUUGUCGUUGCGCGAGUGAGUCGUUGAUAUUCACAGAGUGUAAUAUCGUAACUCGUACUCUAGGACACCUCGAGUGGCCCAUAUGCUUUUCGUUCAGAUUCAGUUUCCUCGAAAGAACCACUAAAGAUAGGCGGAAGAAACGAUUGGAAAAAUCACUGUUUCACGUUUUUUUUAUAAUCAAUUCAACUAAAACUUGCCAAGAUUGUAUACUUUCGAUAACUUGAAUCUUUUUUCAAAUUUAUCACCAACGCGGAAUAUAGCAAGUUGAAAGAACAUGGUUGUAUUGUUGCGUCGUAAACUGUUCGUUAUUCAAGAUUCCUAGAAAAUGUCGUGCAAAUAAUUUAACGAUUUAUAAACUCUCUUUUUCUUUUCUCCCGUUUCUCGUCUCUUAUCUUUCGUCUUUCCGUUCUUCCUUGCGUGACCUUUUACGUAACAUUAACAAAAAGAAACCCGAAGGAAGCUAACAUGUGUAAUCUUCAACAGGUGGCUCAAAGUCAAGCCUUUCGAAGGUUUCGAUAUUAAUUUAAUAAUUGUUACGCGAAAUCGUCGACAGAAUUUAUUCGUUUAAACAGAAAUGAAUUGUCUAAUUUUUAAUUUUUGUAUCGGUUUACGGUUACGAUUAAACGAUUAGACGUGAUCACGUGAUUCUGUUCUAUUUUCAGGAACCGUUUUUAACUCGGUAACCUCGAUAAACGUAAGAUUUUACUAUUUUUAAGAUAGCUCGUCCGAUUCGAGCGACUCAAAGGUGGAGGUUAACGAGCGGAAAACGAUGCGUUCGAGUCAAAGUUGAGCUUCGAGUAGACGUCCAAGUACAAAGAGAAGGAUGAGGUUCGAUAGGAAAAGAACGAUAGAUGGAACCUAGAUAGGAGAGGCAUUUGUACAUAUAUUUACUUGACAUAGUAUACCUUGAUUUCAGAUGACAAGUAGGAAUACUAUAUGUGUAAAAGAGUGCGAAGCUGUGAAGAAUGUAAAGCUUUCUUGUUAAUUUCUUGAGAGAAAGAGAUUUCGAAAGAGGUUUCGAAAAAUUAGUUAUGCAAAGAAAGAGCAGAGAUGAUUAAGGGAAAUGGAAAAGGAGCCAAAAUGGAAAAUGGAAUGAUACGGAUACGAGUUUGAAGGGCGCGAGAAGAAAAAGAGAAAAUAAGAUCGUGAAAGAAGAAUGAUUAAUGCGACAAUUUGCGUGGAUAUUUGGUCGGAGAAGAACGACUCGAGUCGUUCGAGCGUGGAAAAUGACGCGACUUCGGACGUUAUAGUGCAAGUAAUUUUUUAUAUUUUCUACGGAAAUAUCUUUGUACUGGGUGUGUUCGGGAACGCGUUGGUGUGCUUCGUCGUAGCACGAAAUCGUCAAAUGCAGACGGUAACGAAUUUAUUUAUCACAAAUUUGGCGCUGAGCGACGUGUUGCUUUGCGUGCUGGCGGUUCCGUUUACGCCUCUAUACACAUUUUUGGGCGGUUGGAUAUUCGGUAAAACCCUCUGUCACUUGGUGCCGUACGCUCAAGGUGUUAGCGUUUAUAUCAGUACAUUGACUUUGACGAGCAUCGCGAUCGAUAGAUUCAUGGUGAUCAUAUACCCGUUUCAUCCUCGUAUGAAGAUCGAUGUUUGCCUGGCCGUGAUCGUUGGUAUCUGGAUAGUGGCUUUAUUGGUCACCCUGCCAUACGGGCUUUACAUGCACUUGGAAGAACCAUACGCUUUUUGCGAGGAGCAUUGGCCGUCCGAACGGUUUCGCAAAAUCUUCAGCUCCGUCACCUCGAUACUUCAAUUCGUCUUACCCUUCUUCGUGAUCGCGUUCUGCUACACUCGCAUAUCGAUCAAGUUGAACGAUCGAAUCAGAUCGAAACCUGGCACCAAGAUACCCAACAAGAGUAAAGAAGCCGAUAGAGAGAGAAAACGACGAACAAACCGAAUGUUGAUAGCCAUGGUCACUAUAUUUGGCAUUUCUUGGCUACCUCUCAACAUCAUCAACGUUGUCGAUGACUUUUAUUCGGCCGCCAACGAUUGGUCCUAUUACAGACUUUGCUUUUUCAUGACGCAUUGCCUCGCCAUGAGCAGCACUUGUUACAACCCGUUCCUUUACGCUUGGCUCAACGAGAACUUUCGCAAAGAAUUUAAGCAAGUACUACCGUGUUUCUCGAGCACCGCUAAUGCUCCAGCUCCAACAACCACCGGAAGAUUCCGAAACGAUAAUGCGUGUAAUGCUGGUAACAACACUCUUCAGGAAUCUUUGCUACCGAGUCAUGCUCGGAACAAAACACCGAAUCAAGAGCUAUGCGAAUUGAUUGUUCUCGAUACGGUGACCGCCAACGCGCCAAGAGUCCUCCACGAGGCUGCUGAAAUUCUGUAACCCGACUCUCUGUAGCUCGAUCUUGCUGCGGUGGAACGUAUAGAUCGUUCGAUCAACGAAAUCGAUUAACUAAAUACUAUAAUGAAAUAAAGAAUAUUGCCCGUACGUACGAAACCGGUUAAAAGACAAGCCAUCCUGUUGGUCGACCAACAACAGCUGUGUUAUCUGGAAUAUUAUGUAUACACAGCUGCUCGAAAGCUCUUAAACAUUAAACGAUGGAGAAAAGGUACAAUGGGACGACAGAGAAGCAACUCUACACUUACCAUGAGAACAAGUCUUGGAAUUGGAACUAUUAGCGCUGUCAUUGGAAACUAUCGCAACAACAGCUUUUGCGUUCAUUCGUCACUCUAACGAAAAUAUUCGAUUAUAAGUGGUAACGUCCUUU